rnacentral:rRNA from 1 species
CCUACGGGUGGCAGCAGUAGGGAAUAUUGCUCAAUGGGGGAAACCCUGAUGCAGCAACGCCGCGUGGAUGAUGGAGGUUUUAGGAUUGUAAACUCCUUUUGUCAGAGAAGAUAAUGACGGUAUCUCACGAAUAAGCACCUGCUAACUCCGGUCCAGGAGCCGCGGGAAUACGGAGGGGGCAAGCGUUACUCGGAAUCACUGGGGGUAAAGAGCGCGUUGGCGGGAAAGCAAGUCAGAUGUGAAAGCCUAUGGCUUAACCAUAGAACUGCAUUUGAAACUGUUAUUCUAGAGUAUGGGAGAGGUAGGUGGAAUUCUUGGUGGAGGGGUGAAAUCCGUAGAUAGCAAGAGGAAUACUGAUUGCGAAGGCGACCUGCUAGAACAUAACUGACGCUGAUGCGCGAAAGCGUGGGGAGCAAACAGGAUUAGAUACCCCGGUAGUC